rnacentral:rRNA from 1 species
GACGAACGCUGGCGGCGUGCCUAAUACAUGCAAGUAGAACGCACAGUUUAUACCGUAGCUUGCUACACCAUAGACUGUGAGUUGCGAACGGGUGAGUAACGCGUAGGUAACCUGCCUGGUAGCGGGGGAUAACUAUUGGAAACGAUAGCUAAUACCGCAUAAUAUUAAUUAUUGCAUGAUAAUUAAUUGAAAGGUGCAAUUGCACCACUACCAGAUGGACCUGCGUUGUAUUAGCUAGUAGGUGAGGUAACGGCUCACCUAGGCGACGAUACAUAGCCGACCUGAGAGGGUGAUCGGCCACACUGGGACUGGGACACGGCCCAGACUCCUACGGGAGGCAGCAGUAGGGAAUCUUCGGCAAUGGACGAAAGUCUGACCGAGCAACGCCGCGUGAGUGAAGAAGGUUUUCGGAUCGUAAAGCUCUGUUGUAAGAGAAGAACGGGUGUGAGAGUGGAAAGUUCACACUGUGACGGUAUCUUACCAGAAAGGGGCGGCUAACUACGUG